AGUGAACGCUGGCGGUAGGCCUAACACAUGCAAGUCGAACGGCAGCACAGUAAGAGCUUGCUCUUACGGGUGGCGAGUGGCGGACGGGUGAGGAAUACAUCGGAAUCUACUUUUUCGUGGGGGAUAACGGAGGGAAACUUACGCUAAUACCGCAUACGACCUACGGGUGAAAGCAGGGGAUCUUCGGACCUUGCGCGAUUGAAUGAGCCGAUGUCGGAUUAGCUAGUUGGCGGGGUAAAGGCCCACCAAGGCGACGAUCCGUAGCUGGUCUGAGAGGAUGAUCAGCCACACUGGAACUGAGACACGGUCCAGACUCCUACGGGAGGCAGCAGUGGGGAAUAUUGGACAAUGGGCGCAAGCCUGAUCCAGCCAUACCGCGUGGGUGAAGAAGGCCUUUGGGUUGUAAAGCCCUUUUGUUGGGAAAGAAAAGCAGCAGGUUAAUACCCCGCUGUUCUGACGGUACCCAAAGAAUAAGCACCGGCUAACUUCGUG
rnacentral:rRNA from 1 species